GUGCGUUCAGUAAGUAUAACGUUUCAAGAUGGCGGAGCGAAUUGCAUGGUUAUUGUUUCUACUCGAUGGAUUCGCAGAUACUUCGGAAAUAGAUCAGAUUGGGAUCAAUAACUUUAUUGCAUACGAUCAUUUACAUGUGUGUGUUGCCAGUAAUGGUUGAAGAUAUGCCAAACAAAUUGUGCCUUUCUAUACAGACAGAUUUCAGGUCUCAAUUUCAACUUCAAAGGUCAACAUAUCACUGAUAUCAGGAAUUCUGUGAAACUGUGGCACCAUGUAUGGUACGUGAGCGCACAAUGUCUGUUGGAAAAAGGAUAUUGGAAUAAGCAAAGGGACUCAACAUUACACAGUCAUUUCAACAUGUAGAGUCUUGUCAGCAAAGAUGGAGCAGUACAUCAGAUUUCCAGAAUCUCGUCAUGAGCUGAAGAUCAUUGCCUAUGGAUUUCAUGAAUGAUGUAAAAUGAUUUGACUGUUGAUGGAACCCACAGUGCAUGUCCUGCUUCAACAUCUGAGCAUAGGUCCUUGUUUAUCAGCAGUUUAGUUCUUCAAGCAGUCUGUGACAGUAACUUGAAAUGUUUGGACAUAUGUCCUGGAUGGCCAAGUUCUGUUCAUGAUGCCCAUUUAAAUAGAAACGGCCCGGUGGCGCAUUAAAUGGACAAUUUUUCGAAUGUUCUCGUGGAUUCAGCUUACCGCCUGACAAGAAAUCUUGCUUUUUGUUCCGUAUCGAGGCCAUGGACAUUUGUAUCAUUUGCAAAAGAUACUGCGAUAUUUGUGUCUUUGUUCAUGCUUUAUAGUUGAUUAACAAUUGGAAGCCAUAACCUGUUUAAUAGGAUGGUGUUAGUGGGACAAUGAAUUUUGUAAAGAUUUAAAGAAUGGAAAAGAUAAUUAAUAGUCAAAAGAGUUCUGCUAUUGUUAAGCAUGCUUUAUUGAUUUGUAAUGUUAUAAAGAUAGCAUUAUUAACAGAAUAAAAUGUCCAUAAUUUGAA